ACUGCCAUUUGGAACUACGGAUAAAUAAAAAUUUGGAAAUUCUGUUCCAUAGAUGGAAACAUUUUUGUUCAUUUCGAUAAAAUAUUUAAUUUCUCGCAGACUAAAUUUUGGACUAAAAUUGUUUGUGAAAAUAGACUAAAACAUCGUUAAAAAGUUGUGAGAUGAACAAACAUAUAGCUUUCCAAUUUUCAAUAUAUUUUUUGGAUAAUAGAAAUCGCAACGUCUGUAACUGUGUCGAUGGAACGAUCACGACGAAACCAUUUGAAAUCAAUUGAAACUGAUGAAAUCAAAGUCGACGAACGCAGACUCGAACAGGGAAAAGUGAUUAAAGAUACUCGACGAAUACGACAGAAGGUGAAGAUAGGGUGGAUAUGGAAAGGGGGUAGACGCGCGACUGUUCGAAAGAAGCGGCGGACGAAGAGGAUAGGCGGAGCAGAAAGAGGAGGACAGAAUUAGCGCGAGUGUACGCGUAAAUUCGAGUGAGCGAUAGAGGUCCGGUUUGUGGUACACGCCGUGCAAUUACCGGGCGGCGAGUGUCGAGGAACCCUCUUUUAUAUUAAUAGUCGAGA